rnacentral:rRNA from 1 species
UACGUAGGCAGCAAGCGUUGUUCGGAGUUACUGGGCGUAAAGGGUGUGUAGGCGGUUGGAUAAGUGUGGUGUGAAAUCUCCCGGCUCAACUGGGAGGGUGCGCUACAAACUGUCUGACUAGAGUGUGGGAUGGGUAAGUGGAAUUCCUGGUGUAGCGGUGAAGUGCGUAGAUAUCAGGAGGAACACCGGUGGUGUAGACGGCUUACUGGACCAUAACUGACGCUGAGACACGAAAGCGUGGGUAGCAAACAGG